GUUGGAAGAAACAGCAUUCAGAUUGUUGAUAUCUGGAGAUUAUAAGUAUUUGGGAAGAGCUUUGAUGAAAGCUUCUAGCCAAACACUAUGACAUAUGAGUUUGAGGUUUCCUCUGACUUCUUUCUGAAGUAUUUUUCAGACCCCAAAUUGCCAAGCAUUGUGCUAGUUCCAGGGGUGCAGUUUUGGGAGCUGUCGUGUGCCAGAGCAGACAAAGACCGCGGUGCCCAGCAUGUGGAAGGAGGGGCGUGUGGGUGCCUCAGCCCACCUGGGGUGUGCAGCAGGGAAAGCAUCAUGGGAAGAAGACAUGGAGCUGAGCACUGGGAGGGCGCAGGACAAAAAGAGAAGGUCAAGGACAAAGGCCUAUGAAAACGCUAAAGGAAGAGAAGAAUCAGUGAAGUCCCACAGGAAGGGCCAGAGGAGAAGGAAAUGAUCACCAGGGUCAAGGGCAGAAGGACUGGGCAGGAAAGAGGGGCCGCGAGGCCAGGGCCACGGUGACUGGCUGACUGCGUGGAGGAAGACAGCUGAAUACACUCUACACUCUCCCAGAAAAGAUGGUCCGGGUGUCUGUUCUCAGGCAGGAAUCAGGGAAGGUACUCAGGACCACAGACUCCUACCAGCACCCACCGGAGAACCCCGCCUGCGCUCUUAAGGCCAGAGAGCUGGAACCGCUGUUUCCAGAACUAUCAUUCAAAUGAAACGAUGAUAAUAAUGCUAACAGUAGCUAAAGUUACAUCAAUGACAAUCCUUACUGAUGAUGGUAACACCUUUGAGGACAAUGAAUGCUAAAUGCAGUUGCUUAAAAUAUUUGAAGAAUCUGGAUCUUGUGACUGGUUUUAGGAAUCUCUUCUGUAGCAUCCCUGAUCACAAGUCACCCAUUGCCCCCUUGCACCGCUCUGUAUGCAGGGAUCUCACUCCUUCCCAAGCAGAGCCAUCUGUGAUUGGAGGCACCUAUUUGCCGUCUUUACGUGAAGCUGAAAUGUGCUUCCUUGUGUCCAUACUUUGACCACUGACCUACUUUCUGUUCUCUGGUACACCCCGAAACACAUCCAAAAUCCUUUUUUCAUGGGGCAACACAUUAACUGUUAGUUGACAAUAAUUGUGAUUAUUGCUCUCUUGCUAUUAUUGAUGUAUUUCAUAUAUUUCUGAUAUAUAUAGAAAUCUAAUAGCAGCCUUUCUAACCAUUCUUAAAGAAAGACAGUCUUUGGUUCCCUCUUUUACCUGCACUCCCAUAGCUGGGAUUCCUCCACAGGACAUUUUUUUCUUGCGUAAUCCUUUCCCUAGUAAAGUCAGAGGGUCUUCUGAGGAGCUUGGCACUGACUCACAUGGCAUUAAUUCUAAUCCAUUUUAUUUUAUCUGGGAAAUGUGUAAUUUAGUGGAGACUCCACGCUUUGCAUGCCACAGUUGUACUUGGGGCUCACGGUGGCCCCCCAGUGCCUGGAACGUAUUGGCCGUGCAUCCUGACUUCCCUUAGAAAUAGAGCAGGAGCUCAGUAAACAUCUAUGAAACGGGGGGCCCAGCUGU